rnacentral:lncRNA from 1 species
UUUGGAUUCUUUUUUCUUUUUCUUUUUCUUCUUUUCGAUUUUUUUUUUGUUUUUGUUUUUUGUGACUAGCUUUUGUUGACUAUCUCAGCCUGUUGACUCGCAUUCUUGAGGCGAGCUUCUUGUUGUUUCUAACUUGGAUUGAAUGCUGGGGAUUUUUGUUGUAGCCUUCUGCCUUCCAAUGGGUUACGGCUUGACCUUGAACGAUGUUCCUCUAUUCUACAGGCGGACCCCUAACUUCUUCAAUCUUUGACAUAUAACAACCUCCGCUCUAUAGGCAGGCUCCUGACAACCAAAACAAACAACACAAAUGAAAUUUCCUAACCCAGUUUGCACUAGUGAGGUUUGUGAGUCGUUAGCAAAAUUGUAACCCUCUGAUACUGCUGAUGCAGUGCUGAGAGUGAACUAAAGAAUAGACUAGGAUGUGCAUCUCCUACGGGUAAAAUCUCAAUUUAGGAAGUGAGUCUCCUAAAAUAAAAUAGAACCUGAAAUGUAUUCCCUUGUUAUACAGGUGGGCGCUUAACUUCAAUGCUUGAAAUGUAAAGACUGAAAUGUAUUCCUCUCGUUAUACAGGUGGGCGCCUGGAACAUGAAAUGCAAAUACUGAAA